UUGCUGGGAUUACAGGAGUGAGCCACCAUGCCUGGCCACUAAAGCUUAUUAAAAAACAACAACAACAAAAUACUUUUGACUAAAUCUGUCCAAUCUUAGCCAACUCUACCACACAAAAUAAGAUCCUGUUUCCAAGAUUACUUUUCCACAAACCUGUAGUUUUAAAAAAUAUAUUCAGUUUUUGUCCUGUUCUUUUUUCUCUUUCUCUUUGGCACAACCAGUCAUUCUUACUUUAGGACAAAGUGACACUCUUUUUCCCUUAACAAACCCACAUCCUUCAUUCUUUUCCUCAUCAAAAAACACAUUCUACUUCCCUUGAAUACUUUGCAUAUAGGGUUUUUUCCUGAUUAGAUUUUUUUGUGUGUGUGACAGGGUCUCACUCUGUCGCCCAGGCUUGAUUGCAGUGGCACAAUCGUAGAUCACUGUAACUUUGCACUGCUGGGCUUAAGCAUACCUCCACAACCAACUAAUUUUUUAAUUUUUUGUAAAGAGUUCUCUGUUGUAAAGACUCAUCUACUUGUAAAGACGAGUUAUAACCUUUUGGUUAUAAAAGGUUAACCUUUUGGUUAUAACCUUUUAUAAAUAUUAUUUAUGAAAGUUUAUAAGUUAACGUGCUUUCAUCUAUUUAAUUCACUUUUAAUAAUUAUGCUUGGAUUGCUCAUGAAAAUUUCAUGAGACACUGCUCAAAGGUAGAUAUUCUCUUAAAUUUUGUUGUUGACAAAUCAGACAAGUAUCUAAAAUAUCACAGAAGCAAAAAUCCUAAUAAACAAAAACCUUGUUUUUGCCUUUUUAAAGUGUAUACAUCAAUUCAUUUUUAUUGUACAUUUGAUUCUUAGGUUGCAUUUAUAGUUUUAUUCUCAUAAAUAUCUGGUAGAGAUAGCAUAAGUUUGUUUGAUGAGUAAACCUAAGUGGAAAACAAUUAUAUGUCGUAUUAUGUUUAAUGCUGACAACUCUGACAACAUUCCUGUUUUUAUUUUACCAACAAUCUUUAAACCAGUUUUAUUUACCAAAGAUUAUCCCAGAUCACAUGAACCUAAAAUAAUUAGGUUAGUUUUCAUAUUUUUGAGAGUUUUAGGAAUACCUAGUUUAUACAAGCACUGAUUUUUCUUUACAUCAAUUAAAUGGAGCCCUUUUGUAUAAUUUUCUAUCUGGAGAUAGAAAAAUAUCACAAAUCUAUGUCAUGCAUACAUACACACACACACACACACACACACACACACACACAAACAGAUUCAAAUAAAGAUCUUACAGGUUUCAUUUGAAAAUUUCUGCAAUGAGUCAAUAAAACAUAGUAAUGUGAACUCAACUGGUUUAUAUAAAAUCUUGUCUUUUCGCCAGCUUAUACUUUUAUUCAAUUUGUGAUUCUGGCAUAUGGGACAAAUCGAGGUUAGCUACUCAAUAUGAGGACCAGUGCUUUUCACCAAUAUUUGGGGAGGGUUUUUUUUUAAGAUUUUAAUUGCCCUUCUGAUAGGUAAUUUUUUUUAUUUUUCUUUUUCCACAACAAAUUCAGAUCUUCCAAUCAUAAGUAGUAUAAUGGCAGCUGUGGACAAAACUUCAGACAAGUGACUAAGGAGACAUCUAGCAGCUGUUCAGUUUUCUCCAAACUCUGUCUGAGAAAAUACAAUACCCAAUCUAUUUCCAAUUAGCCUUUCUUUUUUAUUUUUCAGCAGACCCCCUGAAGCCCUUGAGAACUGAGAUUCCUAAAGUUCAAGUUACUGAGGGGCUGGAGUGGGAAGGGAAAAUGUCUAACAGGGGUAGAUAGAGGGAUGCAGGAGGUAGGGGCUUGGAGAGAGGAAUAUCAAGGAUUCAAGGGAUGUGCCUUUCCUUCAGGUAUAGGUAGGGUACCUCUUACAUGAGAGUCUUAAAAUCUGCUUCAGAGGAAUGCCAUUAAGUCCUUCCUACACGUGAUUUCUCACAUGCCUUCAGCUUAGAAUAUUCAGUAUACCAACUGAAUAUUUUGUGAUAGCAUGUACUGAACUCUUCAUUAGUUAAAAGUUGCUAAAGUUUAAGGAAGAGAGCAUUUAAUUCUCACCCUAUCAUAUUAAAAAUUGUAUUUGAAUACCCUGAACGUAGAGAAAAAGCUGGGCCCAGAACUAAAAUAAUAUCAGGGUACCUGAUAUUGGAAUUUUGAACUGAAUUGUGUCUCCUCCAAAUUUAUAUGUUGAUGCACUGAUUGCCAGUGUGACUGUGUCUGGUCUUUAGGAGGUAAUUAAGGUUACAUGAGAUCAUAAAAGUGUGGCUCUUCUUAUAGGGCCACAGUCUUAAUGCAAUAGGACGGUGGCCUUAUAACAAGAAUACAGACUCACCUCCUUCUCUUCCUCAUGACAACACUGCAAGAAGAUGGCUGUCUUUGAGCCAGGAAGAAAGCCCUCAUCAAAACCUGGCCAUGCUGGCACCCUGAUAUUGGACUUUUGUUAUGUAAUCCACCCAGUGUAUGUAUUUUAUUACAGCAGCCCUACCUGAUUAACACAUCUGCCAAGCUGAAAUGUUGGACACCUGUCAAGUUUAAGGUGUAUGUAAUUGCUUUCUUCAGUCUUGAUAUAGAUAGGUCUUUAUUUAGUUCUAAUCUUUUUUUCCCUUCAUAUUUGUUGCCCUCACUGGAAAACAGUAUGUUUUAUGUAGCAGUAAGAGCCUUGUAAAUAAUGUUUUUCAAGUGAGGACAGGACAGAUAGUGUUUUUGUUUGUUUGUUUGUUUUGUUUGUUUUUUGACAGUGUCUUGCUCUGUUGCCCAGUCUGGAGUGCAGUGGCACAAUCUCGGCUCACUGAAACCUCCGCCUCCUGGGUUCAAGCAAUUCUCCUGCCUCAGCCUCCUGAGUAGCUGGGAUUACAGGUGCACGCCACCACGCCUGGCUAAUUUUUGUAUUUUUCAUAGAGACAGGGUUUUACCAUGUUGGUCAAGCUGGUGACAGAUAGUUUUAGUUGCCCCCUUCCUAUGAAAAUACAGAAUACUGAAUCCAGUUUUUGUGUAUUCAAUUAAAAUUCCACUAAUGCUUCAGCUUUUUUAACAAGAAAAUAUUUCUGUUUUGAAUGUUUAACACAGAGUCACAAGAUAGUCAUGUAUGCAUGCCUGGUAUUGAAAAAAUCAGUAAAAAACUGAUAACUUACUGACUAUCCAAAUUGUUACUAUACUUUGAUGUUUGUAUUGUACCAUGAUGAUAAAUCUGGUCCUUAGCAUAGUAAUUGUUAUUUUCAUAAUCUCUAAAUCAGUUUCUUCUGGGUUCUGAGAUCCAAAAAGAUGAAACAAAGACUAAUUGUUGACUGAAAGAAAUAUAAGUAACAGCUACUGCUAACACAUUUUAAAAUUAGAAUGCAUAAAUUAACAAAUAGUGCCAAAAAGUAAACACUUUUUUGCAAGGCAAAUCAUAUGCCUUAUCUACUCCCGUUCAAAUUAAUAAAAAUACACUAUUUAUAAACAUGUACUACUGUACUUUCCUUUUAGCUUUAUUUCAGAAAAAUGUGGAAUAAUUUACACUUCCACCUCUCAGGAUGCUGUCAGCAGUAGCAUAAUAGCAAAAGUAGAAGCAUUUUGAAAUUUAAAAAAGGCAGAAAUUAAUUAAAUUUAAAACAAAUUAAAAUUAAAAUAUGGUGGCAUUAUAAAGAUGUGUUCUGAUAAAAGUCUAGUAUAUUUUACUAUUUUGAGAAGCAAAUCAACUCAUUUAUGAAUCCUUUUAAUAUUUUUCUGUAUUUAAUUGCAUUUGCUAGAGCAGUCUUCUUCUAGGGAUGUUUAAGAUCCCUUUACUAUUAAUAGCUGGAAAAUGAAUAGUCAGAGUACUGAUUGAUGAUAUGAUGAUUUUAGACUAUUAUUAUUUUGCAUUUAUAUAGCAUAUUGCCUCAUAUGUAUUCAAAUAUUUCAUAAAAGCAGUUAUCAGAAUAACAAAGUCUGUAUUUGCACACAAGUAUUACAAACAAUUUAAAGAUACACAGAUUGACCCUCCCUCAUCUGAAAAUCUGAAAUCUGAAAUUCUCUAAAAUCUGAAAUUUUUGAGUGCUGCCAUGAUGCCACAGGUGAAAAAUUGCACACCUGACCUCAUGCAGUGAAUUGCAAUCAAAACUUUAUUUCAAGCACAAAAUUAUUUUAAAAUAUUGUAUAAAAAUCAUCUUUAUGCUACGAAUAUAAGGUAUAUAUGAAACAUAAAUGAAUUUUGUGUUUAGACUUUAGUCUUAUAUGAUUUGGCUGUGUCCCCCCUCAAAUCUCAUCUUGAAUUGUAACUCCCACAAUUCCCACAUGUCAUAGGAGGAACCUGGUGAGACAUAAUUGAAUCAUGGUGGCUGGUCUCUCCCAUGCUGUUCUAGUGAAAGUAGAUAAGUCUCACAAGAUCUGAUGGUUUUUAAAACGGGAAUUUCCCUGCACAAGCUCACUCUUGGCCUGCUGCCAUCUUAGUAAGACGUGACUUGCUCCUCCAUGCCUUCUACCAUGAUUGUGAGGCCUCCCCAGCCACGUGGAACUCUUAAGUCCAUUAAAUCUCUUUCUUUUGUAAAUUGCCCAGUCUCAGGUAUGUCUUUAUCAACAGCAUGAAAAUGGACUAAUGCAGUAAAUUGGUACCAGUAGUGUGGGGUGCUGCUGAAAAGAUACCCAAAAAUGUGGAAGUGACUUUGGAACUGGGUAACAGGCAGAGGUUGGAACAGUUUGGAGGGCUCAGAAGAAGACAGGAAAAUGUGGGAAAGUUUGGAAGUCCCUAGAGACUCGUUGAGUGGCUUUCACCAAAAUACUGAUAAUGAUAUGGACAAUGAAAUCCAGACUGAGUUGGUCUCAGAUGGAGAUGAAGUACUUGUUGGGAACUGGAGAAAAGGUGACACUUGUUAUGUUUUAGCAAAGAGACUUGCCCCUGCCCUAGAGAUUUGUGGAACUUUGAACUUGAGAAAGAUGAUUAGGGUAUCUGGCACAAUUGAUUUCUAAACAGUAAAGCAUUCAAGAGGUGACUUGGGUGCUGUUAAAGGCAUUCAGUUUUAAAAGGGAAACAGAACAUAAAAGUUUGGAAAAUUUAUAGCCUGACAAUGCGAUAGAAAAGAAAAUCCCAUUUUCUGAGGAGAAAUUCAAGCUGGCUGCAGAUACAUGCAUAAGUAAUAAGGAGCCAAAUGUUAAUCCCCAAUACAAUGGGGAAAAUGUCACCAGGGCAUGUAGGAGGUCUUCGAGGCAGCCCCUUUCAUCACAGGCCCAGAGGCAUAGGAGGAAAAAUGGUUUCACGGGCUAGGCCCAUGGUCCCUGUAUUGUGUGCAGUCUAGGGACUUGGUGCCCUGUGUUCCAACCACUUUAGCCAUGGCUAACAGGGGCCAAGGUAAAGCUUGGGAUGUGGCUUCAGAGGGUGCAAGCCCCAAGCCUUGGCAGCUUCUACAUGAUGUUGAGCCUGCGAGUGCACAGAAGUCAAGAAUUGGGGUUUGGGAACCUCUGCCUAGAUUUCAGAGGAUGGAUGGAAAUGCCUGGAUGUCCAAGCAGAAGUUUGCUGCAGGGGUGGGGCUCUCAUGGAGAAUCUCUGCUAGGGCAGUGCAGAAGAGAAAUGAGGGGUUGGAGCCCCCACACAGAGUCCCUACUGGGGCACGGCCUAGUGGAGCUGUGAGAAGAGGAUCAUUGUCCUCCAGACUUCAGAAUAGUAGAUCCACUGAUAGCUUAUACUGUGCACCUGGAAAAGCAGUGCACACUCAAUGCCAGCCCAUGGCAGCAGCCAGGAGGGAGGCUGUACCCUGCAAAGCCACAGGGUCGGAGCUACCCAAGACCAUAGGAACCCACCUUUUGCAUCAGCAUUACCUGAAUGUGAGACCUGGAGUCAAAGGAGAUCAUUUGAUUUGACGUAAGAUUUGACUGCCUUGCUGGCUUUCAGACUUGCGUGGGGGCUUUAGCCCCUUUGUUUUGGCCAAUUUCUCCCAUUUGUAAGGGCUGUAUUUACCUGUACCCUCAUUGUAUCUAGGAAGUAACUAAAUUGCUUUUGAUUUUACUGGCUCAUAGGUAAAAGGGACUUGCCUUAUCUCAGAUGAGACUUUGGGCUGUGAACUUUUGAGUUAAUGCUGAAGUGAGUUAAGACUUUGGGUGACUGUUGGGAAGGCAUGAUUAGUUUUGAAAUGUGAGGACAUGAGAUUUAGGAGGGGUCGGGGUGGAAUGAUAUGGUUUGGCUGUGUCCCCACCCAGAUCUCAUCUUGAAUUUUAACUCCCUCAAUUCCCACAUAUUGUGGGAGGAACCUGGUGGGAGGUAAUUGAAUAAUGGGGUUGAGUCUUUCCAAUGCUGUUCUUGUGAUAGUGAAUAAGUCUCAGCUGAUCUGAUGGUUUUAAAAACAGGAGUUUCCCUGCACAGGCUCUCUCUUGGCCUGCUCCCAUCCACAUAUAAAACAUGGCUUGCUCCUCCUUGCCUUCCACCAUGAUUGUGAGGCCUCCCCAGCCACAUCAAACUGUAAGUCCAUUAAACCUCUUUAUUUUGUAAAUUGCCCUGUCUCGGGUAUGUCUUUAUCAGCAGCGUGAAAAUGGACUAAUACAUAUCCCCAGGAUAUCUCAUUAUAUAUGUAUGCAUAUAUUCCAAAAUCCAAAAAAAGUUGAAAUUUGGAAAAACUUCUAGUCCAAAGUAUUUCAGAUAAGGGAUGUUCACCCUCUGUCUGUCCAAAAAUCAUGAACGAAGAUCUAGUUUGUGUGUAGAAAGUUGCAGUUUCACCCUAAAAAGCAAAACAAGCUGGAUAAGUCAUAUAAUUCAAAGAUUAUAUAAUCAAAAUUUUGGUUAUAGCGAUCUACGAGUAGUUGCCUGAGGUAGAGGGAAUUUACUAGAAAGGGAAAUUUGAGAUCUUUCUUGGAUGAUGGAAAUAGUCUAUAUGUUGCUUGGGUGGCAGUUUCACAAUUACAUAAAAUUGUCAAAAUCCAUCAAACAUAACAUCAGAGAUCAUUAUUUUUUGUAUAUAUAUUAACUUGAUAUGAAAAUCUGAAUGUGGUUUAAUAUGAUUCAAUUUGCAUUUAAUUUAAAAUAGAUUAAUUUAGCAACAGUAGCAACAGUGAAGGUGGAAUACGUUGAAAAUAAAGGUUAUGACUUUUGUGGGCACUGAUAGUCAAUGGGUUGUCAGAAAGAAGAGUAGUAAUUCCCAUUUUUUGUGUGGAACCAUGGAUACUGGUAGAAAAUUUUUUCAGUUACACUAGUUCUGAUCUGAUCUCCCACUAUGAUUGUAUAAAGCAGUGAAAACUCAUUUAAUAUUCUUCCAGGACUUUCAUUUAUCAAUGCCUACCAGGCAGUGAUAAUCAGGAUAGCCAUAUGCUUUGUCUACUCUUGGUUAAAUUAAUGGAAACAACAACAACUUUAUAUAAUAUGGUAACUAUACUGUAUUGUGGUAGUCAAAGUUAGAUUCAUUUAGCUUGCUGCAAUGCAUAGGGAGGCUGUGCAAGGAGCUAAGGUAUUUUGGUACAAGAAGUUACUAGGAAUUCAUCAUAGGAUUCAGGGUUGUGCUUAAACGUGGUUUCCGUGGACUCAGUGUCCUUAGAGUCUGCUAGGCUCCAUGUGGGUUCUUCCUUUUGUGUCAGCCUCCAGGAAACUCACUCAAGCCUUUGAAAAUCAGGCUCACCUAUUUGUUUCCUGUCUCUCUGGAAUCACUAUCUUUACUCUUGAGUUUAAUCGUUUGAAUACCAAGCUGUUGAUAUAUAUAUCUUCUGACUUUUUUAGGUGUUUUAGAAAAUAGGGAAAAUCCAGUAUCUUUAUUCCUUCUUGGUCAGAAAUAAAAGUUCUCAUAUUUUUUUUACUAAAAUGUUGGGGUAGGGUGAUAUGUGGAUAGACAAAAAAGUUAAUAUGCCAGUGCUUAUUUGUAAAACAUAAAGCUUAAAUGAAGAAAAGUAAUAUUAAAAUAGUUAUACAUCGUUUUUUAAACACUAUGUUCAAGGCAUCUUGAUCUGUGGAAUUAUGUAUUUUAGCUAAGUUGUACUAAAUAGUACUGAUUCAGAUAUACAAAUCAUAAUACUUAUCAGCUAAUUGAAAGCUCCUUGAGAGGAAUAUUUAAUGGUUUAAUUUUGAACAUACUACAUAUUUUAAGUAUCAAAUGUUCAGUAAAUAUAUAUGUGGAAUACAUGUUUUCUGUGUCAGACACUGAUAUGGUUUGGCUCUGUGCCCCUACCUAAAUCUUACCUCAAAUUGUAAUCCCCAUGUGUCAAGGGAAGGACCUGUAAUCUUCAUGUGUCAAGGGAUGGAGGUGAUUGGAUAAUGUGGGUGGUUUCCCAUGCUGUUCUCGUGAUAGUGAGUUCUCACGAGAUCUGAUGGUUUGAUAAGGCAGUUUUGCCUGCUCUUGCUGGCUCUCUCUUGCCUACCGCCAUGUAAGACAUGCCAGCUUCCCCUUCUGCCAUGAUUUUAAGUUUCUUGAGGCCUCCCCAGCCACAUGGACAUGUGAGUCAAUUAAACCUCUUUUCUUUAUAAAUUACCCAGUCUUGGGUAGUUCUUUAUAGCAGUGUGAGAACAGACUAAUACAGUAAACUGGUAAAGUGGUGAGUGAGGUACUGCUAUAGAGAUACCCAAAAAGGUGGUUGUGACUUUGGAACUGGGUAACAGGCAGGGAUUGGAAUAGUUUGUAGGGCUCAAAAGAAGACAGGAAAAUGUGGGAAAGUUUGGAACUUCCCGGAGACUUGCUGAAUGGUUUUUACUAAAAUGCUGACAAUGAGGUGGCCAAUGAAGUCCAGGCUGAGGUGAUCUCAGAUGGAGAUGAGGAACUUCUUGGUAACUGGAGCAAAGGUCACUCCUGCCUUGCUUUAGCAAAGAGACUAGUGGCAUUUUGCCCCUGCCCUAGAAAUCUGUGGAACUUUGAACUUGAGGGAGAUGAUCUGAAAUUGGAACUUAUGUUUAAAAGGGAAGCAGAGCAUAAAAGUUUGGAAAAUUUGCAGCCUGACAAUGUGAUAGAAAAGAAAAAUCAAUUUUAUGGGGAGAAAUUGAAGCCCAUUGUAGAAAUUUUCAUAAGUAAUGAGGAGUGGAAUGUGAAUAGCCAAGACAGUGGGGAAAAAUGUCACCAGGGCAUGUCAGAGAUCUUGGUGGCCACCCCUCCCAUCACAGGCCCAGUGGCCUAGGAAGAAAAAAUGGUUUCGUGGGCUGGGCCCUGAGCCCCUCUGCUCUGUGCAGCCUUGGGACAUGGUGCCUUGUGUUCCAGCUGCUUCAGCUCCAGCCAUGGCUAAAAGGGGCCAAGGUACAGUUUGGUCCAUUGCUUCAGAGGGUGCAAGCCCCAAGCCUUAGUGGCUUCCAUGUGGUGUUGGGCCUGAGGGUGCACAGAAGUCAAGAAUUGAGUUUUAGGAACCUCCACCUAGAUUUCAGAGGAUGUAUGGAAACACCUGGAUGUCCAGGCAGAAGUCGGGUUUAGGGGCAGAGCCCUCACAGAGAACUUGUACAAGGGCAGUGCAGAAGGGAAAUGUGGCUUUGGAGCCCCCACACAGAGUCCCCACUGGGGCACUGCCUAGUGGAGCUAUGUGAGAAGAGGACCACCACCCUCCAGACCCCAGAAUGGUAGAACACUGACAACCAGUACCAUGAGCCUAGAAAAGCCACAGGUACUCAAUGCCAGCCCAUUCACCAAAGCUGCCCAAGGCUGUGGGAGCCCACCCAUUGCAUCAGCGUACCCUGGAUAUGAGACUUGGAGUCAGAGGAGAUAAGCUUUCAAAUUGAGUGACUGCCCCAAUGGAUUUAGAACUUGCAUGGGGCCUGUAGCCCCUUUGUUUUGGCCAGUUUCUCCCAUUUAGAAUCGGUGUAGUUACCAAAUGCCUGUGCCACCAUUGUAACUUAAAAGUAACUAGCUUGGGUCCUUUUUGAGAUGCAGUGUUGCUCUUUCGCCCAGGCUGGAGUGCAAUGGCACAAUCUCGACUCACUGCAACCUCCGCCUCCCCGGUUCAAGCGAUUCUUCUGCCUCAGCCUCCCAUGUAGCUGGUACUACAGGCACGCACUACCACACCUGGCUAAUUUUUGUAUUUUUAGUAGAGACGGGGAUUCACCACAUUGGCCAGGCUGCUCUUGAACUCCUGACCUCGUGAUCCACCCCCCUCGGCCUCCCAAAUUGCUGGGGUUACAGGAAUGAGCCACCGCAUCUGGCCUUGUUUUUUAUUUUACCUGCUUAUAGGCAGAAGGGACUUGCCUGUCUCAGAUGACACUUUGGACUGUAGACUUUUGAAUUAAUGCUGAAAUGAGUUAAGACUUUGGGGGACUGUUGGGAAGGCAUGAUUGGUUUUGAAAUGUGAAAAGAGAUGAGAUUUGGGUGAGGCCAGGGGUGGAAUGAUACAGUUCGGCUCUGGGUCCCCACCCAUAUCACAUCUUGAAUUGUGAUCCCCAUGAGUCAAGGGAGGGAGCUGUAAUCUCCAUGUGUCCAGGGAAGGAGAUGAUUGGAUCAUGGGGGCAGUUUUCCUCAUGCUAUUCAGUAAUAAUCAGUGAGUUCUCAUGAGAUCUGAUGGUUUAAGGCAGUUUUCCCUGCUUGUGCUAGGUCUCUCUUGCUUGUCGCCACAUAAGACAUGCCUGCCUCCCCCUCCACCAUGAUUGUAAGUUUCCUGAGGCUUCCCCAACCAUGCGGAAAUGUGAGUUAAUUAAACCUCUUUUUUUUUUUUUGUAAAUUACCCUGUCUCAAGUAUAUCUUUAUAACAGUCUGAAAACAGACUAAUACAGACACCUAGCAUUUCUUAUUAGAAUUCAUAAUAUUUAUUCCUUCCCUGAGCUUAAGAGCCAUUUUCAGGUAAGAUGAGAACUAACAUCUAUUUAUAUAAAUCCAAUAAAAUAUAUGAAUUUUGAUUACAAAUGCUAAUUUUCACUCAGUUUUAAGCUUCUAUUUCUUAUGCUAGUUUCUCUUCAUUAUGUUGCUAUAGAUCUACUGAUUAUCCACUUUAUGUCUUUCUAAAUAUUCCUUUAUUUACUGAUAUAUUAAAAUUUUUGAACAAUUAACUUUAUUUAUCAAAGACUAACAUAAUUCCUGAUCUCUUGGUAGUUAAGUGGGGAAGGCACAUAUCUAUCAAAUAAGCACUCUAAUUUGUAUAUAAUUAAGGCUGAAAUAACUAUACCAGAAUUAAGGAUAAAGUUUUGUAAAGACUGAAAUAAUCUAUUAAGUCUCAUGCACAGAAGAGACAUAGUUCAGGAGGUAUUUUGGAUGAAAAUUGCCAAAGAUAUUGUAGCUGAAUCCCAAACCUGAGAAAUAUUCUUGGUUUUUUAGUAUUUUUCCUUCAUCACCACCGCCAUUGCCACCAUCCCUCUUCAGUCUAGUCCAUUACCAAAUCCCAUUAGCUCCUUCUCCAAAAUAACAUCAAAUCCAACUAUAUUAUCUAUUCUACCAUCACCCUGGUUUAAGCCAACAUCAUCUCUAACUUGAACUUGCAGUAUUUCUAAAUAUCUGUUUCCAUUCCUGUCAUCCUUUAAUCCAUUCUCUAUAUAGCAGCCAGAGAAACCUUUUAUUAACCGUAAAUCAGACCAUGACAUUUUUCUUCUUAAAACCUUGGUGGCUCUCUAUAACAUUCAGAAUGAAGUCCAGUUUAUUCAGGAUAGGCUACUAGACCCUGGUUCCUGACCUUCUCUCCAAUCUCAUCUCAUCACCAUUUUAUUAUUUAUUUAUUUUUCUCCUCACUCUCUUCCUACAAGCUAUGCUGGCUGCCUUUUCAUUGCAAGAAUAAACCAAGCUCCAUACUAUUUUGGUGCCUUUCAGUUUUUGCUGUCCUGUACCUAGAAUGUUUUUCUCCAGUUUUUUACUUAUUUGGCUCAUCGAUGUUAAAAUCAGAUCACCUCUUCAGAUAGGCCUUCUCCAAUAACCUUGUCUAAAGUGACCUCAAGUUAUUGUAUUAACUUAUUUUCUCCCUCAUUUAAUUUUAUCUCCUUAAGUUCUGUGAAAGCUAUGAAUUCAUUCCAUUUAUCUUUGUUGUAGCUAUCUUUGUUGGCACUUAGGUGCUCAGUAAAAAUACUUUUUAUGUGGAUAUUUCCCCAGUCUUCUUAGUAAAGUCUGAACUAUAAUGAAGGAUCAUAAUCAUAGCAAACAUUUAUGUAGUCUCCAUAUAAAUUAAUAAUUGACAGUUGAUGAUUUCUGAAAACCAUAAUCCGUAUUCACUCAGUAAGUGAGUAUUUUAUAUUAUAGCUGAAAAUAGCUUACUUUUAAAGGUAUAAAGUAAAGGAUAAGGACUCAUACACACUUAUAAAGUCUAAAGUUGUUAAUUCAGUUCAACAGAUAAUUUACAUUUAAUACUGAAAUUCACUAUUUACUAUGUUCAGUGUUGUGUUAGGCAAGCUGUCUAGCUUAAAGGACACUAAUGUUCAACAUGAAUUCUAAAUGGAGUAAGUAAUUGGAGAUCUGGUAUAGAAAUUGAGUGAAAUGCAUUAUUAAAAUCCAUGAAAACCAACAAGUCUUAGUAGUUAUUCUUUACAAAAGCCAUAAUUAAGACCCACACCUCCCAAACUGUGCACCAGGGUACCCCAGACUGCCAUAGAAAACUCUUAGGGAUACCAUAGGCUUUUUUUAAAUUUUGAGGGAAACCAGCAACAUCUGUCAGAUACUAUGUAAAGUACUAUCUCAAGGUAGUUCGCAGUUUCAGUGUUAGAUUGUACCUUUGAUGAUGUCACAUCUUUAUGAAGCUGGGUUUUGCACAGUUAACUGUGAGAAAAAGCAAGUACUACAGGAAAAUUAUUGUGGAAGAGGAAAGGAGGGCAACAGUAUCCAAUAUGAUUCAAAGGUUUAGGAUAUGUACAGGGCCCAAUAGUUGUACCCAUCCCAUUAGUAAGUAAUUGUAGUUACUAUUAAUAAUUAUUUAAAAUUAAUAUGUUUUUACUUUCAAUUUGUAUCUAUUAUUUAACAGCUACUAAUUUGUUAGGAUAUAAAACUUAAGUUGUUUGGACCUUACUACUUAAUAAACAGAACUAUUAGAUACUUCUUUUACUGGGUGCCAUGAAAACAUUAUUGAGACACCCAGAGCACCUUGAACUGAGAAAGUUUGAGAACUUCUGAUAUAGCCAAAUUUUAUUUUAUUUUAUUUUUAUGAUUCAAAUAUCAUUUUAUUGUUAAUAGCAUCUUUCUGGAGAUCUGGUCUUCAACAGACUCUCUAGAAGAAAUUUAUGUUUAUGAUAAGUGGGAGACUAUACUAUAGAAGCAUAGAGAAAGAGAAAUAAUAUUUACUGGGUACCUACUAUGUUAUAGACAUUAUUUUUAUUUCUUGUUUAAUACUUAUAGCAAUCUUAAGAUAUAUAAUGAUGAUCUUCCCAUUUUAUAGACAGGGAACCAAAGGUCAAAAAAAUUAGAUAUUUUGCUAGGUUACACAGCUAACUGGAUGGUGCCUGAAGAAGCUAAAGGCUUUUUAUGGCAAUGACUAAUGUAUUAUUUUCAACUUAAGAAAGUUAGUUGGAUGGAGUGACAAAGGAACAAAGAUCUACUAUAUUGUGGAUUUUAUUACUGUAAAUAAACACUGAAGGUUACUUUUUUUUUUAAAUUCUUAGUCCCUAUUAUUCAUGCAAGUUUUUCAUGUCAUUUGCUGGAUCAUUAAAUUUGAGUAUAUUUGGUAGUCUUAUUUCCAUAAUAGAGAAUCAGUGAAGAUUGUUUUAGUGUUUCACAUAGUUAAAAUUGUAUUUUGGUCACCUACAACUUGAUAAUCUAUAGAAGUUAAGUACUACCGAGUUAGAUUUUCAUUGAAUUUUUUAUUUUAACUGUUUUCUUUCUUUUUUUUUUCUUUUUUUUUUUUUGAGAUGGAGUUUUGCUCUUGUUGCCCGGGCUGGAGUGCAGUGGUGCAAUCUCGGCUCACUGCAGCUUCCGCCUCCUGGGUUCAAGUGAUUCUCCUGCCUCAGCCUCCUGAGUAGCUGGGAUUACAGGUGAGCACCACCACACCCAGCUAAUUUUUUGUAUUUUUAGUACAGACGGGGUUUCAUCAUGUUGUACAGGCUGAUGAUAACCUGAACUCCUGACCUCAGGUUAUCCACCCGCCUCGGCCUCCUAAAGUGCAGGGAUUACAUACGUGAGCCACUGUGCCUGGCCUAUUUUGACUGUUUUCUUGCCUGUGUGCCUUGUAAUUAUAAAGAAAUUUCUGGAACCCAUACAAAGAUAUUUUCUAUUUGCACUUCAUUUUCUGUUAGCCUCUUCUGAAACUUCUGCAGUGUUUUGAAUUAUCUCAACCAUUCUCCACAUCUCUUAACCUCUGUUUCUUAUUUUCUUUCUUUUUAUCUCUCUUUGCUGAAUUCUAUAUCACUUCUUGAGACCUGUCUUCCAGUUUAUGAAUUUUCCUUUCAUCUGUAUCUGAUCUCCUACAGUCUUCUGAGUUUGUUUCUCCAGUCCUAAAAUUAUUAUAUGUUUCAUUCAUGGGAACCCUGGUUGGUUAUUUUCAAAUCUGCCUAGUAAGUUUUCUUACAUUUUGUACUUUUCUAGGCAUAUUAAACAUAUUAAUGUUUUCUAAUAAUUCUAAUAUUUACAGUAUUUUUAGGUCUGGUUCUGUAGUUCGUCGUUUCUACAUAUACUUUUUGUGGUAGUAUCCCCUUUCCCUUCCCCUUCCUCUUCCUGUUCUCCCUUCCUCUUUCUUUUUCCCCUUCCCUUUCCCCUCUUUCGGGCUUUUGAGUGAAUGGAGUUCAUUCCUUCAUGGAGAAAUUUGAUUCUCCCAUGCACAUGGGAUACUGUCAAUGUGAAACCACUUUCAAUUUUGGGGUGGUGUGGAUUCAGGCCAUAACCCUGCACAAAUGUGGAUUUGUGGUUAUUAAUUCUCAGGGAAGCCCCUUUUUCUUUUUUUUUCUUUUCAUAUUCUACCCAAUCCAAGGUAGACAGGCAUGUAUCUCUUUCAACUCCCUUUUUGGAGUUUUGGUUGUUUUUCUUAGUUUAUCCUUUUGGGUGUUACUGACUGCAUCUGAAUUUUAUGUGAUAUGACUUCACAUCCAUAUUGAACUCUGAAAGCCUGGCUUUUAAGCACUGGGCUCUUUAAUACCAAGGCUGUAGGCCACACAUCAGCAGAUACCACCAGAGUCCAGCAAAUACUGGCCCCAGAACUCUUUCCUUUUCUGGAUUUAUGAUUCUUUUUUGCUUACAGCCUUUAUGAAUUCUUUUAGUUUCCAACCAGCCAACCGUGUGCUUAAAUAAGUCUUUAAAAAUGUGUAUUAUAUUCACACUUUUUAGAUGUGGUAUGCUAGAAGUGACCUUAACUGAAUAUGUUGGUCUGCUAUAGUACAAAAAAAAGCAAUUCAUUAAAUAUUUUGAAUGACAGCACAGGAUUCUGUGCUGACUCAAGUUAGAGCAAGUUACACACUUUAGAACUCUUCUCUGAAUUUGCUGUCACUUUACCCAAAAGUAGAAUUAGAACUCUUUGGCUGCCCUCACCAUAGCCAAGUGACUCCUAAUCCUCCAGGGAACAUGUAAAAUGGUAAAAUUUGCCUGAAAAAUACAGCUGACUUUCAUAAGACUACAGCAAAUUUUGAAAGGUACAUUGGAGCAGUAGUAGUGAUAGGAAACCAAUUGUUAGGCUUUCUAUAUUCAUUCUUGAACGGUUACCCCAAAAGAGUAUCCUAAAAUUCAAGUUAAAAAUUAAAACACUGUUAAUUUAAAACUGUCUUUUCUGUUUCAGUUUAAAAUGUUAAAUCAAAACAGACUUUCUUCUUACCCUAAAAUAGUUACAUAAGAACAGUCUGUUGUCACAGAAGUCAUUCUAUUAUAAAGUUACUUUAUUAUAAAGGGUAUAGUCUCUAUUUAAAAUGUUAAGCUACAAAUAUUUAUCCUUUUGAGCCAUCUGUACUGCUAAAUACCCAUAAGUAUUUUAGACUAAGAUCUGAAAAAUGGAAAUACUUUAAAACCUUUGCAUUGUUGAUUCUUGAUUUUUUUUAUGGCGUGUGUCUUGCUUUGAGCAGAAAUAGAUUGAUGCAGACAGCUUACUUGUAAAACAUUAUGUUACUGUCAUUUAAAAAAAUAGUUUUAAACCCUCUGAUGGAAAGGGGCAUCUUUAGAUGAAGUAAUUUCAUUAAAAUAUCCAAUUCAGAAUCUAAGUAAAUAAACUUAAAUAUAUAAAAAUUCUUCACUUAAUGUAUUUAUUCCCAUAAUAAAUAUGUUAAUUUCAUAAAUUUAGAGCUCUGUUAGGUGAAUUUAUUUUAUUAUUUUAAAUCAUUACCUUAGCUAACCCAGAAAGUUUCUAUUGAGAAUGUUUGUUCCCCACUUUCUCCUCAUGAAAUCAUUUUAAUACUGUAUAAUACCAGGAAAUUGAUUAAUGUCAUUAAUCAACUAUUAUUAUGGAUAUAUAUUUUAUUGGAUGCUUAUUUCAUAUUUCCUUUUUGGGUGGCGUUCUAUUGAAACAUGUGAGAAAAUAUUAGUAACUUGUCUACUCUGCUUACCCCCAUCUUAUAUAAACCCCAUUUCCAGAGGACUGGAAACUGGAAAGAAGAAUACCUCAGGGCUGAACAUGACAGGGGCUUAAGAAAAGUAUCUGAGAAAUUAUAACCAAAAACUGAGCCUAGAAUGAAUUUGCAAUUCAAAUUCAUAUUGUCUGCACUGUAUAAAAAAAUUUACAUUUUUUCUUACAGCUUUUUUUUUUUUUUUUGAGACAGAGUCUCGCUCUGUCACCCAGGCUGGAGUGCAGUGGCACAAUCUCGGCGUACUGCAAGCUCUGCCUCCCAGGUUCAUGCCAUUCUCCUGCCUCAGCCUCCCGAGUAGCUAGGACAACAGGCACCCGCCACCACGCCCGGCUAAUUUUUUGUAUUUUUAGUAAAGAUGGGGUUUCACUGUGUUAGCCAGAAUGGUCUCGAUCUCCUGACCUCGUGAUCUGCCCGCCUCAGCCUCCCAAAGUGCUGGGAUUACAGGCGUGAGCCACCACCCCCGGCCCCUGCUUUUUUUUUUUUUUUUUUAAACAAAACCAUCAAUGGAAGGAAAAACACUUUAAGUGUAUGAAUUUAGUUUAAAGUAGUCUAUGAUGGAUAGUGCGUUCGGACAACUGACCAAAACAAAUGCAGAUUCUCUGGUGAAUUCACUUUGUCCUAAAAUUCAAAGAAAUACCAUACAUUAUUUACCACUGAACACGAAAAGCUACAAGGAAAUGAAGUACUAUGAAUAAGAAUCAUCAGAAACACUAAGCAGCUGAAUCAACCCUACAUAGACAUUAAAUAUUGGAAUGAUUGGAUAUAGAGUAAAAAACAACUAUGCUUACUUAAUAUGUUAAACAAAAUAAAACUAAAAAGCAAAAGCCUAAAAAAAAUCAAUAGGGAACAGCAAACUGUAAAAAUGUCCUAGCAAAUUUGGAAAAUAAUCAAUUAGAAAUUCUAGAAUUGGAAACAAAUAAUCUAAAUUUAAAAUCACAUGGAGUAUAACAGCAGAACAGAUACAAUUGAAGAGAGAAAUAGCAAAGUGAAUAAUAGGCUAAAAGAAAUUAUUGAGAAUUUAUCACAAAGAGCAAAAAUUCAAAAACAAGAAAGAGGUUCAAAACUACACUGUUUCAUGCACACUGGUGUAUUUAUGAUAUAUCUCACAAAAAUGUCUAAAAUAUAAUCAAAUAUAUGGUCAAAUAUGCUCAUUCAUCUUUAGAGCUUUCUAUAAGAAGAAAACAAAAGGAAAAACAUUAUGUGCAACAGUAGGGGAAGGAUCAGAGAGUUAAUAGUUCAUCCAUUACAAAUUAUGUUACUAUAAAUACUUAACGUCAUGAGGGAAAUAUUUACCUUAAGAGUAUUACAUUUAUACAUUGAUCUCAAAUUCAAAGAAUAGUAAGAUAUGUUAUUUAUUUAACGAUACAUAUAAAAAGAAAGAAUAUCUUAUUUAAUAGUAGAGCUUACUUCUGAAUACUAGGGAUACAGGUACUUUAAAAUUUUCUUUGUAGGCUCUUUGUAUUUCCCAGUUGUUUUAAACUGAACAUUUAGUACUUAAAAAAAAAAAAAGCCAGAAAGCUGCUAAUAAGUAUUAAAAAGUGGUACUUAGUGAUGUAUUCUAGAACUUUUCUGUGCUAUAUCUGUGCUUUUCCUGUGGUAAGUGCUUAUCAUAUUUUUAAAAUGACUGAUAUUUGGCUCUUAUAGAUUCUUAAUGUAUAUUUAAAUGAAGUGGAUGAAUAAUAAAAGUUAGUGGAAAAUUUAUAAAGAGUAAGGCCUUGAAUAUUUGCAACACACUGAACUGUUGAUUACUGGGGAUUUAAGCUGAGAGUCUUCAUUUAGGUGCAAUUUAGUAAGUGUCUUAGUUCCUUUUGUGCUGUUAUAACAGAAUACCAGAGAUUAGGUAAUUUAUAAAGAAAAAAUUUAUUUCUUACAGUUCUGGAAAGCCGGGAAGUCCAGUAUCAAGGUGCUAGCAUCUGGUGAGGGCCUUCUUGUGGCAUCUCAUGGCAGAAGGAAGAAGGGCAAGAGAGCAUGUGUGUGAGAGAGGAAGAAAUUAAACUUGCAGCUUCAAGCCCUUUUAUAAUUGACAUUAAUCCAUUCAUGAGGGUGGAGUCCUCAUGUCCUAAACACAUCCCAUCAGGUCCCAGCUCCCAACAUUAGGGAUUCAGUUUCCAACACAUGCUUUUUGGGGAACACAUUCAAACUAUAGCAGUAAGCAACUUUGAAGACGUUCUUGAUUUGCUUAUUCAAUAUGUGUAAGAUCUAGCAAUAUUUAUGAGAUAAAUAUAAUAUGCAAAUAAUUUUGUUUUAAUUUAUUCAUAUGAUAAAUAUUUAUUGAAUGUCUUUUGUGUGCUACACGUUGCACUAGAUUUUGGAGAUGACUUGUGAAACCAUAUACAGUCUUUGAUGAGAUUUAGAGCAUAGUAGAGGAUAUAUAUGUAUGUAUGUUACAUGCAUAUAUGAUUUAUUCAGGAGUAUAAGGCAAUUCAAUAUUAGGAAGUCCAUUAAUAUAAAAGGUUGGGGGAAAUGUGGAGAGUAAUACCAGAGACAAACAACUAUAAAAGACAUGUAAGUUGUUGUCUUUGGGCAGAAUCACUAUGAAAUGAUGGUUGGAUAGGUGGCAGCUGUUGUUACAUCAUAUAUAUUUUAUCACUGUCUUAUGUUUUCAAGUUUGUACAUAUGUUACUUUACUAAAAAUAAAAGUUAAUUUUCUAGCUGACAUCAAAUUAUUUCUUCCUCUCAAGUCCUUUGUAGCUACUGUCACCAGCAGAAUAUCCCAUAGCCUCCUUCUAAUAUCUCCUCACCCUGGCAGCCUCUGAUACAGGGAUAAAGUCCUUUGAGUUGGCUUUGGCUCAGUUACCUUCAGUAUUGUCCAAUUGAUUCAUGAUAAAAACCCGUUGUCUUUAUCAUGCUAAAUGACCAAAGUGUAAACUUCCACCUUACUGUCCUUUCUCCUUGCCUUGCUAUCUUCAUUGGUUCCAGUGAGUCUUUCUUUUUUAGUCCUCUUGAGCAAAAACAAGCUUUUCCACAAUUCCAAGGGAUACAUGUCAAACGCUCAGAAUGCUUUAUUGAACGCUCUUCCUUGACACCAUCUCCCUAAAAAUGUCAAAACACUCUAACAACACUUUUCCAAAAGGAACUCUUUUGCCUUGUUAGAUUUCAACAUUCUUAUAUCCCCCAGGGUGGUGUCACAAGUGUCAAAAACAGUUUUGAGUCUCAUUGUUUACAGUUCCUUCAUAGACAAUAUAAUAAAUACCUCACUUUGGCCUUAACAUUCUGAUACAUGUUAAUUGUUACACUAUUUUAUCCAUUAUAAAGCAUACCACAAAAUUAGAAACUAAAGAGAAUUAGAUUUUUUAUGUAUAUAUAUAUGAUAUCUUCUUUUAAUGGAUAAUUAUGCACAUUCCUAGUAUGUGUGCAGUUUGAUUUGGAGACCAUUAUAUUGAAGAUUCCGUCCUGUUUGGGCAGGAUUGCAUAUGCCCCUGAGCCUAUAUAGCUCUUGUUAUAGAAAUUUAUUGUGUUGAUUUUUUUCACUGUUCAAUAUCCCACCCCCAUAGUAGAAUUGAUUUUUAGAAGAAACGGUGACAGUUUUUAGCAGCCAUGAUGGUGGCCUAGGGUUGAAGAAAUAUGUGAUGUAUUGUUAGAGUCCAAGCCAUGCUGUUCUAUUAAAAUACUAUUUUUCUUCCUGCUCUUUUUGAAGUUGAUUUUAUUUCUGCUUAUUUUCUAAGCCUGAAUUUCUGGCCUUCAUUUGUUUUUGUUCUUCUUGUUUUUGUUUUUGUUUUGUUUUGUUUUUGAGACGGAGUCUCGCUCUGUCACCCAGGCUGGAGUGCAGUGGCGCGAUCUCUGCUUACUGCAAGCCCGGCCUUCUGGGUUCACGCCAUUCUCCUGCCUCAGCCUCCCGAGUAGUUGGGACCACAGGCGCACACCGCCAUGCUUGGCUAAUUUUUUUUUGUAUUUUUAGUAGAGACGGGGUUUCACCAUGUUAGCCAGGAUGCAUUUCUUUUUUUUUAAUACUUAAGUUUCUUUUUCUUGUUUAAGAAAGUUGGAGUUAGGACUGUUGUUCAUUCACAACAAAUUGACACCACUGCCUUAAUAUCAUAAAGACUCUGUAUUGUUUCAGUUGUUUGCUCAUUGGGAAAAUACUCCAGGGUGAGGCCUCCCUUACAUCUGAGGGACCUGAUUCCCUGUGUAGAGAGUUCUUUUUUUUUUUAAUUGUUCCAGUUUAUACUUCUGGUAGACUUUUAAUCUUCCCCCCCACUUUAAAGUCCCAGUAUGCCCCACUAUAAAUUGAAACAUUGUGUUCUAGUCUUUAUCUACAAACUUAGAGAAAAUUAAUUACUUUUCAAGGUAACAUAUUCAAUUUUAUUUUCUUUUUUCUUAGAUCACUCCAGUAUAUCCAGCAAACUCCCUUAAACUAAGCCCAAACUGGUGUUGUUGCCUGUUGCAAUUUCCUUCACUAGAGCAUCCAGAAAAGCUUACUUGCCUUUGCAUAUAAAAUCUCUUACUUUGGGAGGCCGAGGCGGGCGGAUCACGAGGUGAGGAGAUCGAGACCAUCCUGGCUAACACGGUGAAGCCCCUUCUCUAGUAAAAAAAAAUACAAAAAAAAUUAGCCAGGCGUGGUGGCUGGUGCCUGCAGUCCCAGCUACUUGGGAGGCUGAGGCGGGAGAAUGGCGUGGAAACGGGAGGCGGUGCUUGCAGUGAGCGGAGAUCGCGCCACUGCACUCCAGCCUGGACGACAGAGCGAGACUCCAUCUCAAAAAACAACAACAACAACAAAAAAACUCUUUAAUUGCUUUAAAACAGCUAACCAAGUCUUAUUUCCUUUAUCUUCUUGUAUUUUUCUUAUAUUACCUUGGCAAAAUGAAAAAUUUGGGGAUUUAGUGUUUGCCAAGUCACCAUAUGGAUAAAUCACCACUAGUGAAGAAUAAACUAUAUCCAUAUUAUGUUACUUUAAAUGAAACGAUUACAUUUCAUCAUUACCCUCAGAAUUAAACCUGUUAUUUACACUACUACUUCUCAUCCUUUCUUCUAAUAGGCUCCAAGCUUUCUCCUUUUUCAUCUUUCAUCUAUCCCAAUAAAAACAUAACUUCCAAUUUUAAUUAGAAUAGCUAUAUAUAAUAGGUUGACCAACUGUGUAUCUUCUGUAGCCUUCUGCCUAUAACCUGAUUAUAAAAUUGCUUUAACUAAAGUAAGUUACUGCCUAUUCUGAGUUACUCUAUUACACAAAAUUUAAUUUUAUUACGCUACUUUCUUUUCCAUAUUAUUUUCCUCCUAGCCUCUUCCAAUUCUUUGUCUUCUUGAUCUCCCUUAUUAAUCCUUUUCUCAGGGAAGGAAGAUCUGAUCAGCCAAUUCACUCCAAGAUUUAAGUGACUAGUGGUUGGAAAUCUGUUCCUCUUCAGCAUUACCUGUAAUUUAAACAAGGAAUUAAGUUGUAUUGGCUUUGGUGAGGCACAACGUGUGUUUGUAUAUGAGAAUGAGUUCUUUAUAGCACCCAUUCAGUCACACAAGGCUACCUACUUGUAAGUCUAAUGUUUAGAGUAAACAGUGAAUUAUCUAAUACAUUUUGCAUUUCUUACACCUUGAAAGAAUGUUGAUAAAUUUCCUUAUACAAGUAGUCUGAUCUGAUGUUAGACAAAUAGUGAAUACUCAGUUUUAUUGAUUAAUUGAGUGCAUUUUCAGAAUACUGAAAGAUUAGGAAUUGUGGUUGACUGAGCAUUUUGUUAAGAUGUUAUUAGAGACAAAUACAAAAAAAUUCUGGCUCUCUGGAUUGGACUCUGUGUAGAUUGAUUCCAUCUGUAAAAGGUGCCUCAUCUUUGACAGUAGAUAUUUUAGUCACUGUUACUUGUUAGAGAUUCAAUAUAGCAAUGCAAUUUUUUUUUAUUUACUUAUAAGGAUUUAUGAUACCAAGUUGUAUUUGACAUUUGGAUUAAAUCCUGAGGGGUAAGGAAGAUUCGUCCCUGUGGUAGAAGUUUCUAAAGUCUUAAGUCAAAUGAAUUCUACUUACACUUUAGUUAGAAGGCCAUUUAAGACAAACGUGCCUUAAAAGAUCAAGUUUUUCAGUGUUAAAAUUCUACAUCUCAAUAUAGGUUAUGAAUACUACAUUAAGUUCAUUUGGUUAUGAAUUCAUUAUUUUCACCUUUUGCUGCUAUUGUUAUACUUCAACUCUCUUAUUUUUACAACUUUUUAUUUUGAAAACUUUCAAACUUUAAAAAAAUGUUGGGACAACAGUAUAAUGAACAGCUGCACUCUGCACACCUAGAUUCUCAUGAUUGAGAAUACAUGCUGUAUCUAUUUAUAUCUCUGUCUUGCCUUCUCUCUAUAUAUAACUUAAAAACUGUUUCAGACAUAGUGACACUUUACCCCUGAAUACUUCAGCAUGUUUCCCUAAAAUUAAGGACAUUGUUCACCGUACUCUUAUCAUAUGCUGGAAAUGUUAACAUUGAGACAAUAAUAUCAUAAAAUAUAACAUACAAACCUAUUUUUAGAUUUCUCCAAUUAUCUCAAAAUAUUAUUUAUAGAUUUUUUGAUUCAGUAUUCUGUGAGGGAUUAUAAAUGAUAAUUUGAUAGUGAUAUGUCUUCACCAUUUUGUUAUAUAUUGUCAGAAAUUUGAUGUAGAAUAAUUCAUAUGUUAGCAACUGUGGAAAGUGUUGCCAAUUAUGAAAAAAAUGUAAAUUUAGAUAAUUUAGAAAUAGUCCACUAAGACUUUUAUUAUAUAGUUGAUUAUAUUAAUUAAAGUAACUUGAAUUCCUUGACAGUUUACUUAUGUAUAAUGAGUGUUCAUGAUGCCCUAAUUGAAUUUUUAUUUUUUUAAAAUUUAAUUUUUAAAAAUAAUAAUAAUACAGUAAAAAACCCUUUGUGAUCUUUCUUAAUAGUCACAUCAUCACUCUACCCUGCCUAUCACAGAUCUGUUUUACAUCACUAUAGUUUGUGUUUUUAAGAAUGUCAAAUAAAUAGAAUCAGAAAGUAUGACCAGCUUCUCUCAGAGUAGAGUCUCUGAGAUAUAUCCAAGUUGUGUAUGUCAAUAAUUUAUUCAUUUUUAUGGUAGAUAGUAUUCCAUUGUACAUAUAUACCAUAGUUUGUUUAUCUACUAACCCAUUGAAAGACAUUUGGGUUGCUUCCAGCUUUUGGCUGUCACAAAUAAAUCUACUGUUAAUAUUUGUAUAUAAGUUUUGGUAUGAACAUAAGUUUUCAUUUCUCUAUAAAUACCCAGAUGUACAAUUGCUGGCUCAUAUGAUAAAUGUAUACUUAACAUUAUAAAAACCCGCCAAACUGUUUUCCAACAUCUGCAUCAUUUCAGUAUUAGGCUCAAUCAAUUGUCUUAUCCCAUGUGAAUUUGUAUCCUGUAUUACUUUAUAAGACUCUGAGUCUUAUUUAGAUCCUGUGGAAAAUAUUGAUAUUUUUGUUUUGGCCUUCUGUGGAUUGUGUGGUUCUAACCUUGGCUCUAUUUUACAAGACUUUGGUGUGCAAUUUGGAUCUGUCAUGAAUGUGUACCCUCUAGUGGUCACUCUGGGACCAGCUUGUAGAUCUGUUCUUAGCUAAGGCCUUUAAAUAUUUGAUAUGCUAAUUAGUAUCAAAUCCAUAAAUGGGCAGAUCCAGGGUGAGUAAAAGUUCAAAACAACUUUAUGUAGUUGCUUUCCUGGUCUCCCUUCCCUAAGUACUUUCUACUUCCCUUGGGGCUGUUUUUUUUGUUAUUGUUGUUCUUCAAAAAAGAAAUUGUUUCUUUCUGCAGUUUUACGACAUCCUCACACCAUUUAGCACUGGUGAUAAGAUGCCACCAAGGCUACAUGGUGGGAAGACAGGGACAUAGGGAAAAAAUUCUACAGGGUUUGGUGCUGCCCUUUUGGCAUUGCUGCUUCUCUGAAAGGUAGGUCGACCUCCCUCAGAGUUUUGACUCCUGCAGUCUCUCAUUUCUGUCUUCUUUUAUUUUAGCUGCCAUGGGACUGUUCAGGGUUUGGGGCAUAGAAAAAUGAGGAAGAGGAGAGGGGGAAACAAAAUAACCUGGAGAUUUCUCCUACUCUUUCUCUGUCUGCACUGUAAGUGUUCAGAAAAUUUCUCCUGGACCUCACUCACACCACAUAGUGCUCAGUUCUGGGUUUCUGGCUUCAGAGGUAGUGGAGGAAAAUAAAUGUUAAACUCAACAUUGGUAUUCUUCCCUCAUCUGUCUACUAGUGUUAACUUUUCAGAGUUUUCAGAUAAGUCUCUAGCCAGGUUUUUUAGUUGAAUUAGCAUGAGAUAAAGAGAGUCUGGUCUUAUUUCAUCUUACUGGAAUCAGGACCCCUAAUUGAUUUUUAAAUGGUAUUGUUGAUACAAUUGUCAGGCCAUUUAUUUCAGUAUUUCACUAAGUAACUUCUAAACUGUGAAAAAAGUAAUUAUAAAAUAAACAUCAGGUAUUUUUGUUCUUAUUUGUAUCUUUGACAUGAGAUAAAGUUUGUGGAAGAUUUAACAAGAACAUCAUAAGAAGUUGACUAUAAAUUAGAUGUUAAUUCAUUAAUUUAUUCACUCCACAGAAAUUAAACGAGUACUGACUCUUGGCCUGGGAUUGCAGAUAUUAUAAUGAACAAGAUAGGCAGAGCUCCUUCUCAGGACGGGUUAAUAGAUUUGAGACAGUCAUUUAUAGUACAUUGUAAAAAAAAAAAACAAAACUGCCCCAGAGUUAAUGUUAAAAAUUGUUUUAUUAUUUUUUCUUUAAGAUAAAACUUUUAAGGGGUCAGGACUCUGGUAAUGUUGAAUGUACAUUAAUGCAUUUAUGUAUGGACAUAGCUGAGGAUUUUGUUAAAAUGUGCCUUAAAUGAUUACAUAAAUUAAAUAAGCAAUUUGUUCAGCAGGUUAAAAGGAAGAUAUUUCAUAUUUUUGUAAAUGAACACAUGAAAUUUUUUCCUUUAAGAUUUUAAAUGCCAAAUUAUUUACUUAGGUAGUGAACUAUAGUGUUAACAUUAAAUAAAAAGAGAUCUACAUAUCUACUCCUAUUUCUGUAUUAAUAAACUGUGAUGAUGUAUCAAUAAGUAGGAUCAUGUGCCAUUAGGACUUGAAAUAAUGGAAUAUGGUACGUCCUAAAGCUUAUUUUGUCAUUCAUCUAGCCAAUAAUAUUAAUUACUUAAUAUCACUGCUCAAGCUAUCAUCUUUGAGAAAUACUGAUUUAACAAUAGUUUACACUAAAUAUGUAAAAAAUAAUUUUAAAGUCAAGCAAACCAUAGGUUAAUUACCCCAUUACUUGAGAAUGCAAAAAAAAUACUUUUACUAUAGUACUUAUUAAUAAACUCAUUUUUAAAUUUAAAUUGCAAAAGUUAUCACAGGCUUUCUAUGGUAUAUGGAAUUAUAAUAACAUACUUUUAAUUGAUGUUUGUUGGAAUUCACAGCAUUUAUAGACUUUUUAAAUAGACUUUAUUUUUUGGCAGUUUUAGGUUCAUAGCAAAAUUGAGCAGACAGCUCAGAGAUUUUCCCAUAUACCCCCUGCACCCUUACAUGCAUAGCCUCCCCCAUUAUCAACAUUCUUUACCAGAGUGGUAUAUUUGUUGCCAUUGAAGCUACAUUGACGUAUCAUUAUUACCCGAUCCAUACUUUAUAGUAGGAUUCACUGUUGGUGUUGUAUAUUCCAUGGGUGUGGACAAAUGUAUUAUGGCACCAUUAUACAGGUUGAAUAUCCCUUAUCCAAAAUGUUUGAGACCAAAUUGUUUCUGAUUUUGGAUUUUGGAAUAUGUGUAUAUAUGUAGUGAGAGAUAUUAGAGAUGGGACCCAAAUCUAAACAUUAAAUUUAUUUAUGUUUCAUCUACACAUGGCCUCAAGGUAAUUUUAUCCAAUAUUUUAAAUAAUUUUAGGCAUGAAGCAAAGUUUGCCUAAAACGAACUAUAAGAAAGCAAAGAUGUCAAGUGUGGAAUUUUCCACUUGUAGUGUCAUGUUGGUGCUUAAAGUUUUUCAGGUUUUGGAGCAUUUCAGAUUUCAGAUUUUCAGCUUCAGAAUACUCAAACUGUAGUAUAAUCUAGAGUAGUUCCACUGCCCUAAAAAUCCUCUGUAUUCUACCUAUUCAUCCCUUUCUCCUCACAAGCCACCAGCAACCAUGGAUAUUUUUAAUGUCUCUAUAGUUUUGCUUUUUCCAAAAUGUCAUAUAGUUGGAUUCUUAUAGUGUGUGUCCUUUUCAGAUAGGCUUCUUUUAGUUAGUAAUAUGUGUUUAAGUUUCCUCCAUGUCUUUUCAUGGUUUGAUAGCUUAUUUCUUUUUACCAUUGAGCAAAAAGAAAUGAGUUGUUUAUCAUCCACUCACCUACUGAAGGACAUCUUCGUUGUUUACAAGUUUUGGCCAUUAUGAAUAAAGUCUGUAUAAAUAUCCACAUACAGGCUUUUGUGUGGACAUAGUUUUCAAUUCCUUUGAGUAAAUACCAUGGAUUAUGAUUGCUGCAUCAUGUGGUACAGUGUGUUUAGUUUUGUAAGAAACCACCAGACUGUCUUCCAAAGUAGCUAUACCAUUUUGCAUUCUCACCAGCAAUAAAUGAGACUUCUUGUUGUUUCACAUUCUUGCCAGCCUUUGGUAUUAUCAGUGUUCUGAAUAUUGAACAUUCUAAUAGGCUUAUAGUCAUAUCUCCUUGUUUUAUUAAUUUGCAUUUUACUGAUGAUAUAUGAUGUGGAGUAUCUUUUCACAUUAUUAUUUGUCAUCUGUGUAUCUUCUUUGGUGAUGUGUUUGUUAAGGUCCUUGGCUCAUUUUUCAAUAGAGUUGUUCAUUUUCUUAUUGUUGAGUUUUAAAAUCUCUUUGUAUAUUUUGUAUAACAAUUCAUUAUCAGAUUUGCCAUUUGAAAAUAUUUUCUUCCAGUCUGUGGCUUGUCUUUUCGUUCCCUUCACAGUGCCUUUUACAAAGCAGGGUUUUUUUUUUAAUUUUUAAUUUUUGUGAGCAUAUAGUAGGUCUGUGUAUUUGUAGGAUUCAUGAGAUAUUUAGAUAUAGGCAUACAAUGCGUAAUUGUCACAUCAGGGUAAAUGGAGUAUCCAUCACCUCAUGCAUUUAUCCUUUCUUUGUGUUACAAACAAUCCAUUUAUACUCUUUUAGUUAUUUUUAUAUGUACAAUAAAUUACUGUUGACUAUAGUCACCCAGUUUUGCUGUCAACAGAGUUGUUAAUUUUAAUGAAAUCUAACCUACUGUUUCUUUCUUCCAAGGAUGUUGCCUUUGCUGUCAUAUCUAAAAAGUUAUUACCAACCCAAGGUCAUCUAAAUAUUCUUCUAUUCUAGGAGUUUUAUAUUUUUAUGUUUUACAUUUAGGUCUGAUUCAUUUUGAAUUAAUUUUUGUGAAGGCUGUCAGGUCUGUGUUUAGAUUCAUUUUUUUUGCACAUCAUGUCUUUUAAGAUUCUGAGUUCUUUCGGAAGACAUUCCUUGGCUGGGAUUCCAAUUUUGGCUCUGCAAGGACAUAUCACUACUCUCAUACUAAAAAUCAGACUUAUAAUUGUAGUCUCUGUUUUCCAAGUCAGGAAAUAAGGAAAGGACCAGGACACCAGUAGUAGCCAUGGUCUUAAGGCUCCAAAAAGAUGUAGAGAGGAAAAUACAUAAAUACAUUAACUUAGUGGAGGUGAGGGAGGAGGAUGACCUUGGUGCCCCCUCACUUUUUUAAGCACAGGUAAAGUUGAUUCAUAAUAAUGUCAACAUGUACUUCUUUAAUUUUUUGGUAGCAGGAAAAAGGUAAAUUAAAGCUUACCAAUGUUUUGUAAAAUUCUAAGUAUCACUGGCCCUCUUGUAUUUUAUCAAUGCUGAAAAUGUGAUGCUUGAAUCCAAAAACAAAUGAAAUCAAGGUUUGAUUAAACCGGUUCUAAGACUUCAUUACUUUGCUACUUCUGACUUACUGCCACAUAUUACUAUUACUCCUAAUUGUACUAGGUUGCUUUGGUUUGGAUUCCAGCAAACGAGGUAAGUUGGCACAAGUGACCUAAAAAUAAAGUUUUUGUACUGCUGGGAUAUCAUUUGGCUGGUUUUCUAAUUUUGUUGGGCUUGGAUCAGAAUUAAUUAUGUGUUAUUUUCAUAUCAAUGUCAAGUCUGUAUUUAUAGCAUUCUUUUUUUUUAGAAGUCACAGAAUUUUUAAAAGUAGCAGAAAAACAAUAAAUGAUAUUGAAAAAAUUUUAGUACUUACAUUUUCGUCAUGAUCUUCUAAAGCCUCCUAAAAGAAACAUUGCUCUUGUGAAUGGUGCUGCAGUGAACCUACACAUUCACGUGUCUUUAUAAUAGAAUGAUUUAUAUUACUUUGGAUAUAUACCCAAUAAUGGGAUUGCUGGGUUGAAUGGUAUUUCUGUCUCCACGUCUUUGUGGAAUCACCACACUGUCUUUCAGAAUGGUUGAACCAAUUAUAUUCCCACUAACAGUCUAUAAGCAUUCUGUUUUCUCUGCAACCUCACCAGCAUCUGUUAUUUUUGGACUUUUUAAUAGCCAUUCUGAUGGCUAUGAGAUGAUAUUUCAUUGUGGUUUUUAUUUGCAUUUCUCCAAUGAUCAGUGAUGUUGAGCUUUUGUUUAUAUGCUUGUUGGCUGCAUGUAUGUCUUCUUUUGAGAAGUGUCUGUUCAUGUCGUUUGCCCACUUAUUAAUGGGGUUGUUUGGAUUUUUCUUUUAAAUUUGUUUAAGUUCCUUAUAGAUGCUGGAUACUAGACUUUUGUCAGAUGCAUAGUUUGCAAAAAUUUUCUCCCGUUCUGUAGGUUGUCUGUUUAUUCUGUUGAUAGUUUCUUUUGCUGUGCAGAAACUCUCCAUUUGUAGAGCCCUGCAGGAUAGAUUUAGCAUAAUUCUUGAAGACCCUAGUAUUUUCAGAAUGGUCAAUGAGCAUUGGCUUCAACUUAAAGUCACUAGCUGCACUAGUCCCUACCAAGAGAGUCAACCUGUCCUGUGAAGCUUUGAAGCCAGGCAUUGACUUUUCCUCUCUCUAUGUGAAAGUCCUAGAUGGUAUCUUCUUCCAGUAUUUAAGGUUGUCUUAUCUACAUUGAAAUUCUGUUAUAUAGAAUAGCCACCUUCAUCAAUGAUCUUAGCUAGAUCUUCUGGAUAACUUACUGCAGCUUCUACACUAGCACUUGCUGCUUUACCUCGUAUGUUUUUGUUACAGAUAUAGCUUCUUAAACCUCAUGAAGCAACUUCUGCUAGCUUCCAACUUUUCUUCUGCAGUUUCCUCACCUCUCUCAGCCUUCAUAGAAUCGAAGAGAAUUAGGGCCUUGUUCUGAAUUAGGCUUUGGCUUAAGGAAAUGUUGUGGCUUCUAUCAAGACCACUCAGACUUUCUCCAUAUUAGCAAUAAGGCUUUCUCUCUCUUGUCAUUUGUGUAUUCACUGGAGUAGCACUUUUAAUUUUUUUCAAAAACUUUCCCUUUGUAUGCACUACUUGGCUUUUUGCCAUAAGAGAAGGUUAUCUCAGCUUUUGACAUGCUUUCUUCUCUAGCUUAUUCAUUUCUAGCUUUUGAUUUAAAGUGAGAGAUAUGUGACUCUUCCUUUCACUUGAAUAGAAACCACUGUAGGGUUAUUAAUUGGCCUAACGAUGUUGUUUCUCAAGGAAUAAGGAGACCCAAGAAGAGGGAGAGAGACAGGAAAAUGGCCAGCUGGUCGAGCAGUCAGAACACACACAUUUACUGAUUAAGUCCCCUGUCUUAUAUGGGCUCAAUUGAUGUUGACUCCAAACAAUUACAAGAGUAAUAUCAAAGGUUAAUUAUUACAGUUUACAAUAGCAGACAUGAUAUUAAUGAAAAAGUUUUAAAUACUACGAGAAUUACUAAAACGUGACACAGACGUGAAGUGAGCACAUGCACUUGGAAAAAUGGCCCCAGCAGACUUCCUUGACAUGGGUUGCCAGAAACCUUCAGGUUGUGAAAAGCACAAUAAAGCGAAGCACAAUAAAAAAAUGUGUUUCUUAAACAACAAGACUAUAAUGGACAAGAAAGAGCUGAGACUAGAGACAGGAGACCAACAUGUUAAUCUUAAGUCAGGAAUCCUAAAGUGAAGCAAUAGGAGUGGUUAAAAAAAAAAAAAAAAGAGAAGAGAGAUUGAUUUAAUAAAUAAUUGUAAUAUAGAAUUAGUAGCAUUGAAUCCUGAUACACCCACAGAAAAUAUAUACAAACGUGUUUAAAUAAUGAAAAUUUAUGGUAGAUUCUGUUAUUGGCCCUGAUUUUCAACCAUGUCCGUCAAAGCCCUUUGCCAUAUAAUUUUUUAGGAACCCACUGUUGGGGGUGGAGUGGACUUCCUUGCCUUAUGAAUUUGUAUUUGACCACUUAACUUGUUGUUACCAAUGGAUAGAGCCCCUGGGUAUAUACUUACUCUCUUGUACAUCCACCAUGCAAUAAGAAUAUGUGUGACAGUAUUUUGGUGUCAGGAGAAGGAUGAGAGAUACAUGGGGGAGAGCUACUCCCAGGCCUGGACCAGAUAAUUCUUCAGUUAGCCAUGUACUCAUGAAUGAACCCAGCUGAGCCCAGCCUGGAGCAGCCAUUUUUUAAGCAGUGCACAGAUUUAGGAUAAAUAAUAAGUUAUGAUUGUUUUAAGCCCCUGAGUUUUAGGGUGGCAGUCAUAGCUAACUGAUAUAAAGUUUCUAUUCUGCCAAAAAAAAAAAAUUUUAAAGAAAGUUAUAUUCUAUUCUAUUUUCACACAUCAAUUGAUGUGAAAACAAAAUAUAAUCUACUGAUCCAACAGGAAAACUGCUUGCAUUAUUGGUUUUAUUUAUUAGACUGCCUUAAUGCAGCAAUCACGCAGCUAGAAAGGGAAAAAUAAAACGAAUAUAAUUUAUAAAAAUAGCUUUAUUGAGAUAUACCUUAUAUAUCAUAAAAUUUACUUAUUUUAAGUGCACAAUUCAGUGAUUUUUAGUAUACUUAUUUUUGCCACUGUCACCACAAUGUAAUUUCAAACAUUUCCAUCAUCCCAAAAGAAAUCUCUGUGCCCAUUACCAGUCACUUUUUUUCUCUCCCACCUCCAGCUUAAGACUAUGUAACCACAAAUCUACUUCCUAUCACUAUAGAUUUGCCUAUUCUAGACUUUUCAUAGCAAUAGAAUUAUACAACAUAUAGGGAUUUUUGUGUUUAGCUUUUUUCACUGAGCAUUUUUUAAGGUGCUUCUAUAUUGAAGCAUGUUUUAGUAGUUCUUUUUUAUUUCUGGAUAGUAAUCCAUUAUCUGAGUUUAUCACAUUUUGUUUAUUUAUUCAUCAGUUAAUGGAUAUUUGAGUUUUCCACUUUUUGUCUAUUAUCAAUAAUGGUAUGAACAUUCAUUUACAAGUGUUUGUACAAACAUUAUGUUUUUAUUUCUCUUAGAUAAGUACUUAGUUGUAGUAGAAUUUCUGGGUCAUAUGGUGACUCUGUCUUCAGCAUUCUGAGAAACUUAAAGUUUUCCAAAGUGACUGUGCCAUUUUACACUCCCACCAGAAAUUUAUGAGGGAAAACUGAUAGUAAUUUAAUUAUACUGAAUAUUCAAUUUAUACUACUAGUGACUUUCAUAUCAUAAUACAGAAUGAUAACUAUAUAUAAAAGAUAAUAAUCAGAUAAUCUGAAAAUAAUAAAACUGUGAAAUGUACUUCUCUCUAUAGUGAGUCAUAUGUGUAAGUUAUGCAGCAGGUGAAGAAAUGUGUAAGAUAGGCCUUUUAAAACACAAUCUUAAAUCUUAUUAAGGUUUUCUAGAGUAAUAUAAAUAAUGCGAUAAUAGAAAUAAGAUCUACUUAUUUUCUACUAUUCUGUAAAAUUAUUAAAUAAUUAAAUUUUCUUUCUAUAGUAAUCUUGUUACACCAAGCUCACUUUGUACUAUUGUGCCUAUACAGAAAUUACACUAAUUUUUCCUCCAUUAAAACAUUAAAAUAGCCUUUUGACUUUUAUAGACUUCAGAGAAGUUGUCAUUAUAUCUCAAGUGCUAUGAAUGUGAACUGUGGGAAUGUGAACUUUACUAAGAAUCAAUUAUAUAGCCUAAGUUGGUGUUUUAUAUUUGUUUUUCCUGCACUGUUAUGGAAACCUGUAAAAUAUGUUAACAUUGAACUAUUUGGUCUUAUUUAGACAGUAUUUUAUCUUACAAUGCUGUAUGAUGAAAUCCUGCACUCAAAUAAAACAUUAAUCAGCAGAACUUAAAUAAAAAUAUAUGACUGUUAA